UACGAAGGGGGCUAGCGUUGUUCGGAAUUACUGGGCGUAAAGUGCGCGCAGGCGGCUAUCCAAGUCAGUGGUGAAAGCCCGGAGCUCAACUCCGGAACUGCCAUUGAAACUGUUUAGCUUGAGUAUGAGAGAGGUGAGUGGAAUUCCCAGUGUAGAGGUGAAAUUCGUAGAUAUUGGGAAGAACACCGGUGGCGAAGGCGGCUCACUGGCUCAUUACUGACGCUCAGGCGCGACAGCGUGGGGAUCAAACAGG
rnacentral:rRNA from 1 species